rnacentral:rRNA from 1 species
AGGGGGAUAACGUUUGGAAACGAACGCUAAUACCGCAUAACGUAUUUUGGUCACAUGGCCUUAAUACCAAAGGAGCAAUCCGCUCUGAGAUGGACUCGCGUCUGAUUAGCUAGUUGCGGGGUAACGGCCCACCAAGGCGACGAUCAGUAGCCGACCUGAGAGGGUGAUCGGCCACAUUGGGACUGAGACAACGGGCCCAAAACUCCUACGGGAGGCAGCAGUGGGGAAUAUUGCACAAUGGGGGAAACCCUGAUGCAGCGACGCCGCGUGAGUGAAGAAGUAUUUCGGUAUGUAAAGCUCUAUCAGCAGGGAAGAAAAUGACGGUACCUGACUAAGAAGCCCCGGCUAACUACGUG